CACCGGAUUGUUUAGGGAAAUACAAAAAAAGUCUGUACACAUUCAGUACAGAUACAACCAUACUUGUUUUUUAAAAUAUUGUUUGAUCUGUGGUUGUUUGAAUCCACGAAUUCAGAACCCAUGGAUACACAGGCCAGACUAUACUUACUAUUGCACUGGGACUUUCAAAGACUGUUAUCUGAUAAAAUGUUUAUUUAGAGACAGGCAUAUCAUACAUUGACACCAGAACCUGGUGCCUACCUCUGAGUGUAGGACAAAUGUUUAGUACUGAGUGUUAGUUUAGUACUCUCAUUGUAUUCUUGUAGGUGAUGUAGUCAUUCAGUAUUCAAUAUAGCCUUAGAAUAUUGAAUAUUCAAUAUAGUCCUAGAAUAUUGAAUAUUCAAUAUUCAAUAUAGUCUUAGAAAUAUUAGAAUGUAAUACCCCAUUCAUUGAUAGAUCUCCCUAGGUUUGUGGAACUGUAAAAUAACUUAGUUGUCAUUCAGUCUGUGUGUGUAUCCUUUGUUGAACAUUUGAUUCAUUCAAUUUUUUUAAUUUAAGAAUAAUUGAUUAGUUCCUGUUAGUCAAUGUUCUUGCAAAAAUACUCAACUUCUUCAAAGGAGGAGAAAUAAUGAAAAUAAAAGGAUAUGGACGGUGCAUCACUCUGGAGCUAAUGCCAUUUGGGAGCCUUUUCCACACCUCAGCCUGAAUAUAUGGAUGGAAGGAGCAGUUGCCCAAACCUACAGAGAGCCAGAGAGAGAGGGCUGCCUGAGAGGAGUUAUGCAGUGCCUCUCCUGCCUCUGCUCUUCCCAGCCUCUGCUCUUCCCAGCCUCUGAUCUCCCACCAGGACCUCAUGGUGGUGGAACCCAUGCAGAAAGCGAAGGGAAGAGAACCUGCUGAUGCAGUACAUACAGGUCUGGCUCCGGAUACCCAAACCAGGGUAGAGAAGACUGCAGGCUGGAUCAGGAGAGACAUUUGGAAAACAUCCAGCACAGUCUCCAAGAUUUAAGAGGGGAAUAUUGAUGGAGCUAUAUGAAGGACAGAUACACAGAUAGUACAUGACUUCCCUUGAGAAAUGGCAAGAUGUGGUUAUAUUAAAACUGGAUUUCUUCAUGUAAGCAUCAGUAAUAACCGAGUAGCAAUUGCCCUCUUUCAACAACGAGUGAAGUCUCCACUCACUCCGCGUCUUACCCUUCCCACUUCAUUCAGAUUUCCUCUGUACACAUGUGGGUUCCAGCUCAUUCUCUUACUUAUAAAAGGAAUUCAUUAUCAACCAGAGGUUGCAUAGAAGAUAAUUUGCCCAAGCUACCUAGUUACUGGUGGAUACAGGUUGAGAACCUAGGAGCAUUAGCCAUGAUAGGUUAUCUUACGCUAUGGUUGCAAAUCAUUGCUGAAAAUAUCUGUGGUUUAUUAUGACAAAGAUUUGUAUUUUAAUUUACUCAAAAUCUCCUGUGGGUCACAUGGUGACUCAGAGACAUGGCCUGUCUCCACUUUGCUGCUCUGUCAUCUCAAUGUGUGGCUUCCAGGUUAGCACAGCUAGAGAACAGAAGGCCGGAGGGCCACUCAGGGGAUUUUGCUCCACCAUGGAGGGGAUUUUCAUCUCUAGUCAGAGUCCCCAGGCUGGAAUUACUCACAUGGCUCUAUCCAACUGCAGGAAAGUUGGGAAUUGUAAUUUCUGUGUGCCCAAGAAGGAAACAAGCAGCUAUUGGUGAGUGUGAGCAAUUGCUCCCACAAUAAGAAUCUUUCAUUUUGGUCCGGGCUUUUUUCAGCUUAAUAAUGCCACUUUUUGUUCUACCUUAGCCAGUGUGUUGACUGUCAUAUUUGCAAUACAGACCUUCAGAGCUAUUCGCACAGGAGAUAGCAAGAGGAAUGCCUGCUGGGGGGCUCAGUGAAGAUCCCACAGAGGAAAAGUGACUUGGAUUUUGUUUUGAGGCUUGUGUAGGAUUUAAAAAUGUAAGAAGAAUGGUUCAAGUUAUUUCAAACUGUCCACAUUGACUCAGUAAAGGUAAGUGGGAAGAAUUCUCACAGCCUGUCUUGGUAAACCAGGCAAGUCAGUCUUACUCCUAGUAAAACAGUUAUGCAGAGAAAAAUCAGGUUGGAUCUUUGAAUGCUUGACUGUGGAUCUUGGACUUCACCUCACAGUUAAUAGGCAGGAAUUGGUUCAAUAGCCAGUAAUUCUUAGCAGGAGGAAAGAGUGUGUCAUUUGGAUUCUAUAGAACCCAUUUCACUCUCCAUUUGUACUUGCAGAUCCAGCUUCAACACAAUUUUCUUAUGUUCUGAAAGUUCAAGCACAAGCACUUGGGGGAUAGUUGGCUGUGUGUUUCUGCCUUGGGUUUUCUAAGACUAACCACCCAGUGAAUUCUGCAAAACCCUGUUAAAUGAUGUUCCUAGCCAUGGAGGACCAGGGAAAGCCAAAGGCACAACCGUCUCGCUGGAGUACAAUGGCGUGAUCUCGGCUCAUCGCAACCUCCGCCUCCUCUGUUCAAGCAAUUCUCCGCGGUUACAGUGAAGUUUGUGCAAGUGUGAGUUAAGAGAUUUGAUGAAAUUAUUCACCCAGAUGUAAGUGUCGAUCUGGGGCAAAGGU
rnacentral:lncRNA from 1 species